rfam:Parcubacteria (Moranbacteria) bacterium GW2011_GWE2_47_10 TX75_C0007, whole genome shotgun sequence.
UGAAAGGUUACUUAAUGCAUAUGGUGGAUGCCUUGACUGAAGUAAGCGAUGAAGGACGCAGCAGGCUGCGAUAAACCUCGGGGAGCUGUCAAGCAAGCUUUGAGCCGGGGGUUUCCGAAUGGGGCAACCCUACGUCUUCGGACGUAAUCUCUGACUGAAUCAAUAGGUCAGAGAAGCAGACCCUGGGAAUUGAAACAUCUUAGUACCAGGAGGAAAAGAAAACAAUUGUGAUUCCGCAAGUAGUGGCGAGCGAACGCGGAAUAGUCUAAACCGUAUCCUUCGGGAUGCGGGGUUGCGAGGUAGUCAUACUCGUUUGAUCGGGGUAUGUCAUGUUCCCUUAGCAAAAUCCUUUGGAAAGAGGAACCAUAGCGGGUAAUAGUCCCGUAUGUGAAAAGCGAACAUGCCAGAUGAGACUAUCCUCAAGUAGGGCGGGACCGGUGAAAUCCCGUCUGAAUCUGGGAGCACUACACUUCCAAGACUAAAUAUUACUUCAGAUCGAUAGCGAACUAGUACCGUGAGGGAAAGGUGAAAAGCAUCCCGGUGAGGGAGGUGAAAUAGAACUGAAACCAUGUGCUAACGAAGAGUUGGAGCGGUCGCUUGCGACCGUGACAGCGUGCUUUUUGCAGAACGAGCCAACGAGUUAGUUUUAUACGGCUUGUCUAAGGGGUCAAACCCCCGGAGACGUAGUGAAAGCGAGCCUUAAUAGGGCGUUUGUCGUAUGGACUAGACCCGAAGCCAGACGAGCUACAUAUGAGCAGGUUGAACCUUGGGUAACACCAGGGG